GGAGAGGUGCCGGAGUGGUUGAACGGGGCGGUCUCGAAAACCGUUGUACGGCUCCCGCCGUACCGUGGGUUCGAAUCCCACCCUCUCCGCCA
rnacentral:tRNA from 1 species